rnacentral:rRNA from 1 species
AGUCGAGCGGUUGAAGGAAGCUUGCUUCCUGAUUCAGCGGCGGACGGGUGAGUAAUGCCUAGGAAUCUGCCUGGUAGUGGGGGACAACGUUUCGAAAGGAACGCUAAUACCGCAUACGUCCUACGGGAGAAAGCAGGGGACCUUCGGGCCUUGCGCUAUCAGAUGAGCCUAGGUCGGAUUAGCUAGUUGGUGAGGUAAUGGCUCACCAAGGCGACGAUCCGUAACUGGUCUGAGAGGAUGAUCAGUCACACUGGAACUGAGACACGGUCCAGACUCCUACGGGAGGCAGCAGUGGGGAAUAUUGGACAAUGGGCGAAAGCCUGAUCCAGCCAUGCCGCGUGUGUGAAGAAGGUCUUCGGAUUGUAAAGCACUUUAAGUUGGGAGGAAGGGCAGUAAGCGAAUACCUUGCUGUUUUGACGUUACCGACAGAAUAAGCACCGGCUAACUCUGUGCCAGCAGCCGCGGUAAUACAGAGGGUGCAAGCGUUAAUCGGAAUUACUGGGCGUAAAGCGCGCGUAGGUGGUUUGUUAAGUUGAAUGUGAAAUCCCCGGGCUCAACCUGGGAACUGCAUCCAAAACUGGCAAGCUAGAGUAGGGCAGAGGGUGGUGGAAUUUCCUGUGUAGCGGUGAAAUGCGUAGAUAUAGGAAGGAACACCAGUGGCGAAGGCGACCACCUGGGCUCAUACUGAC